GAUAAACGCUGGCGGCGCACAUAAGACAUGCAAGUCGAACGGACUUAACCAUUAGUUUACUAUUGGAGCGGUUAGUGGCGGACUGGUGAGUAACACGUAAGCAACCUGCCUAUCAGAGGGGAACAACAGUUAGAAAUGACUGCUAAUACCGCAUAUGCCUUGAGUAUCACAUGGUACAAAAGGGAAAGGAGCAAUCCGCUGAUAGAUGGGCUUGCGUCUGAUUAGAUAGUUGGUGGGGUAACGGCCUACCAAGUCGACGAUCAGUAGCCGGACUGAGAGGUUGAACGGCCACAUUGGGACUGAGAUACGGCCCAGACUCCUACGGGAGGCAGCAGUCGGGAAUAUUGCGCAAUGGAGGAAACUCUGACGCAGUGACGCCGCGUGCAGGAAGAAGGUUUUCGGAUUGUAAACUGCUUUAGACAGGGAAGAAACAAGACAGUACCUGUAGAAUAAGCUCCGGCUAACUACGUGCCAGCAGCCGCGGUAAUACGUAGGGAGCAAGCGUUAUCCGGAUUUAUUGGGUGUAAAGGGUGCGUAGACGGGAAAUUAAGUUAGUUGUGAAAUCCCUCGGCUUAACUGAGGAACUGCAACUAAAACUGAUUUUCUUGAGUGUUGGAGAGGAAAGUGGAAUUCCUAGUGUAGCGGUGAAAUGCGUAGAUAUUAGGAGGAACACCAGUGGCGAAGGCGACUUUCUGGACAAUAACUGACGUUGAGGCACGAAAGUGUGGGGAGCAAACAGGAUUAGAUACCCUGGUAGUCCACACCGUAAACGAUGGAUACUAGGUGUAGGAUGUGAUAAACAUUCUGUGCCGUCGCAAACGCAGUAAGUAUCCCACCUGGGGAGUACGGCCGCAAGGUUGAAACUCAAAGGAAUUGACGGGGGCCCGCACAAGCAGUGGAGUAUGUGGUUUAAUUCGACGCAACGCGAAGAACCUUACCAGGGCUUGACAUAUACAGGAAUAUGUUAGAGAUAGCAUAGCUCUUCGGAGUCUGUAUACAGGUGGUGCAUGGUUGUCGUCAGCUCGUGUCGUGAGAUGUUGGGUUAAGUCCCGCAACGAGCGCAACCCCUGUUCUUAGUUGCCAGCACGUAAAGGUGGGAACUCUAAGAAGACUGCCGGUGAUAAAUCGGAGGAAGGUGGGGACGACGUCAAAUCAUCAUGCCCUUUAUGUCCUGGGCUACACACGUACUACAAUGGCUAUAACAAAGGGAAGCGAAGCCGCGAGGUGAAGCAAAACCCAAAAAAGUAGUCCCAGUUCGGAUUGAAGGCUGAAAUUCGCCUUCAUGAAGCCGGAAUUGCUAGUAAUGGCAGGUCAGCAUACUGCCGUGAAUACGUUCCCGGGCCUUGUACACACCGCCCGUCACACCAUGAGAGUUGGGAAUACCCGAAGCCUGUGAGCUAACUUUAAGAGGCAGCAGUCGAAGGUAGAAUCAAUGAUUGGGGUGAAGUCGUAACAAGGUAGCCGUAUCGGAAGGUGCGGCUGGAUCACCUCCUUUCUAAGGAGAAUUAACUAAACGGAUUUUAUUGUUUAUUUUUCAAUGUACUUUAAACAGUACAUUAAAAAUAGAGUGAAGCUCAUUAACAGAAGAAAACACAGACAAAAAAGACUCUAAUAUAUGGGCUCAUAGCUCAGAUGGUUAGAGCGCACGCCUGAUAAGCGUGAGGUCGAUGGUUCGAUUCCAUUUGAGCCCACCAAGUGAUUUUAUAUCACUUUAGCACAUUGAAAAAUAUAUAGAUGAAAAUAAGGUAAACUAGAAAUAUGAACUAGUAGCUUUGUUGAAAAAACAAAGUAAAAGUUUUAGGAUUACAAAUCAAAAACCGAUUAACCUAAAGAAGGUUAAGCUACUAAGAGCAUAUGGUGAAUGCCUUGGCACCAAGAGCCGACGAAGGACGUGAUAAGCUGCGAAAAGCUAUGGAGAGGAGCAAAUAUCCAUCGACCCAUAGAUAUCCGAAUGAGGGAACUCAACUAGAGAAAAAAGUCUAGUUAUCCACACAUGAGUAAAGUAGUGUGUGUGAGGGGAACGUAGGGAACUGAAACAUCUAAGUACCUACAGGAAAAGAAAGAAAACUCGAUUCCUUGAGUAGUGGCGAGCGAAAGAGGAAGAGCCUAAACCAGAAGAAGCAAUUCUUUUGGGGUUAUGGACUACAUAAUUGAUUCUCAAAGACUAGCAGAACUGUUUGGGAAAGCAGACCAAAGAUAGUGAAAGUCUAGUAAGCGAAAGUUAGAGAGACAUGGUAGUAUCCGGAGUAGUGCGAGACACGGGAAAUCUCGUAUGAAAAAGUGGGGACCACCCCAUAAGGCUAAAUACUACUUGGUGACCGAUAGUGAAAC
rnacentral:misc_RNA from 1 species